GAUGAACGCUGGCGGCGUGCUUAACACAUGCAAGUCGAACGGUGAAAGAGAGCUUGCUCUCUGGAUCAGUGGCGAACGGGUGAGUAACACGUGAGCAAUCUGCCCCUGACUCUGGGAUAAGCCCUGGAAACGGCGUCUAAUACCGGAUACGAGCUGCGAAGGCAUCUUCAGCAGCUGGAAAGAACUUCGGUCAGGGAUGAGCUCGCGGCCUAUCAGCUAGUUGGUGAGGUAAUGGCUCACCAAGGCGUCGACGGGUAGCCGGCCUGAGAGGGUGACCGGCCACACUGGGACUGAGACACGGGCCAGACUCCUACGGGAGGCAGCAGUGGGGAGUAUUGCACAAUGGGCGCAAGCCUGAUGCAGCAACGCCGCGUGAGGGACGACGGCCUUCGGGUUGUAAACCCCUUUUAGCAGGGAAGAAGCGAAAGUGACGGUACCUGCAGAAAAAGCACCGGCUAACUACGUGCCAGCAGCCGCGGUAACAC
rnacentral:rRNA from 1 species